AAGGGAUCGGUGGGGGCUCGAUCUCAUACAGGGAUGCCGGUGAGGCGGCGACGCAGGCGGUCUACGAUGGGAUCCAGUGUCCGCUGGUCUUCCCAGUGGAUCGAGCCGAGGCGCUCAAGGCGAUCCAGCGGCGCCCGGCCUUCUCAGUGGAUCCAGCCGAGGCGCGCCAGGGAAUCAUCCUUGGGUUUGGAGUUGGUGACCGAGGAGGAGGCGGCACCGGCGAUGGCGAGCAAGCCGUGCACGAGGCCACGGCGACUCCACAAAGUCUGCUCCGCUCUCCCCGACCCUCGACGGCGUGCUCUCCGACCUCCACUCCCUCCUUCUCUCCACGCUCGCCGCGUCGCUGCCCUCCCCGUCACCAUGGCGACGAUGUGAGUUUCCCCACUCUCUCAGGCCCCUUUUUCCUCUCCUCCCCAUGUGCAUCACCUUUAUAC
rnacentral:rRNA from 1 species